rnacentral:rRNA from 1 species
GACGAACGCUGGCGGCGUGCUUAACACAUGCAAGUCGAGCGGUAAGGCCCUUUCGGGGGUACACGAGCGGCGAACGGGUGAGUAACACGUGGGUGACCUGCCUUUAGCUCUGGGAUAAGCCUGGGAAACUGGGUCUAAUACCGGAUAUGACCCUAUGGCGCAUGUUGUGGGGUGGAAAGCCUUGUGCGGCUAGGGAUGGGCCCGCGGCCUAUCAGCUUGUUGGUGGGGUGAUGGCCUACCAAGGCGACGACGGGUAGCCGGCCUGAGAGGGCGACCGGCCACACUGGGACUGAGACACGGCCCAGACUCCUACGGGAGGCAGCAGUGGGGAAUUUUGGGCAAUGGGCGAAAGCCUGACCCAGCAACGCCGCGUGAAGGAUGAAAUCCCUCGGGAUGUAAACUUCGCAAGAAUGGGGAAGAAUUAGUAGGGGUUAAUACCCUCUAUGAUGACGGUACCAUUUGUAAGCUCCGGCUAACUCCGUGCCAGCCGCCGCGGUAAU